UGGGGAAUCUUGCGCAAUGGGCGAAAGCCUGACGCAGCGACGCCGCGUGCGGGAGGAAGCUCUUCGGGGUGUAAACCGCUGUCAGGAGGGAAGAAAUGUCACUCGAGGAAAUGCGGGUGAUUUGACGGUACCUCCAAAGGAAGCACCGGCUAACUCUGUGCCAGCAGCCGCGGUAAUACAGAGGGUGCGAGCGUUGUUCGGAAUUACUGGGCGUAAAGCGCGCGUAGGUGGUCUUUUAAGUCCGACUGUGAAAUCCCGGGGCUCAACCCCGCGGGCUGCAGGGGAUACUGGGAGACUGGAGACACGUAGAGGCAAGCGGAAUUCCGGGUGUAGCGGUGGAAUGCGUAGAGAUCCGGAAGAACACCGGAGGCGAAGGCGGCUUGCUGGGCGUGAUCUGACGCUGAGGCGCGAAAGCGUGGGGAGCGAACAG
rnacentral:rRNA from 1 species